rnacentral:tRNA from 2 species
GCGGGGGUAGCUCAGUGGUAGAGCAUCAGCCUUCCAAGCUGAGGGCCGCGGGUUCGAUACCCGUUCCCCGCU